UCGAGCAUCUCAUCUCAAAAACUUCAGUAGUCUGAAAAUAAUAGCAUAAAAAUUUUGAAAUAAUCUUAUCAGUAGAGAUGGCAAUGGGUCGGAUAUAUAUUGGAUCAGCCAAUAUCCACAUCCGUCCUGUAAUUAAAAAUCACAUACUCCUACUUGUUUUAGGUUGGGUCAAGUAGAGGUGCGGGCUGGAUCGGAUAGGAUAAAUAAAAAGGGUUAGGCCAGACUGGAUAAAGAUUUCAUUAUGUAAGAUAUUAUAAAAUAAUUAUAAUUUUUAAAAAAGAAAUGUGGAUUAAAGUUAUAUGGGAU
rnacentral:lncRNA from 1 species